AGUCGAGCGCGCUCUUUUAGAGCGAGCGGCAAACGGGUGAGUAACGCGUGGGAAUCUACCCAUCUCUACGGAAUAACACAGAGAAAUUUGUGCUAAUACCGUAUACGUCCUAUAGGAGAAAGAUUUAUCGGAGAUGGAUGAGCCCGCGUUGGAUUAGCUAGUUGGUGAGGUAACGGCUCACCAAGGCGACGAUCCAUAGCUGGUCUGAGAGGAUGAUCAGCCACACUGGAACUGAGAUACGGUCCAG
rnacentral:rRNA from 1 species